UGGAGGGUUGAGUGGGCUGCACCUCCCCCACCACCAUGACAGAACUCUGGGUCACAAAAGGGCCAGUACCUCAGAACCGAUGGGAAGCGAGGAUUCGGGACAUUUCAUCGGAAAGACACAGCCACACAGAACAUAAAUGCCCUUUCAGGGAUGAACACAG
rnacentral:lncRNA from 1 species